UUUUACUAUUAUUUAAAAAUCAGUCGAGGAUUGCCAGAUCGUAGAACUGCACUUUGAUGAGCACACCAAAGCAGAUAAUCUAAAAGUCACAAUCCAGUCAAUAACCAGAAACGUUAUUGAAACCCUGAAUUUAUACGAAGCAAGUGGAUUUUUAGCAGAUUUUUCAACGCCUGUUUAUCUCAGUCAUGUCCAGUCUUAUAAAACUAUCAGGAGACUUGUUAAAGUUGCCAAUCAUAAUUUCACUAAGACCACUAUUUCUGGAAUCGCUCCAAAUCUUGGCUACAUAACAUUUUUCCACGAUACAUCAAAGUUGGCAUCUUUAAUGUAUUUAUUUAAAAAUCCAUUGGAUUUCAGUCUUGAAGGUAAUAUCGGCGAUUAUGUCCUCAGAAGACUACCCAGUAACACCAACGAUGGCUACUACCAGUACGUGUAUGUCCAGCUCCUGGAAAACACUG